GUCUGGUGGUGUUCACUGCAGCUUGGCUGUGUUGUGAACCACAACAGCAUUUCUUCAGUUAGAUUUCUGCUCAGUAUCCACUCAUCCUGCCAGAGUCUGUUUUCUGAAGGAUGAAGCAGUUGUGUCCUGGAGGUACCUGCUUCUCUCAGUAAUUUGUGAAACAGCUCUUGGAAGAAUCUGCAGUGAGUCAGGGAAAGGUUGUCUGGAAAUGAGACGCCAGAGGAAGCAAAAGAAGAAGCCAAAGGC